UACGUAGGAUGCAAGCGUUGUCCGGAUUUAUUGGGCGUAAAGAGCGCGUAGGCGGUGUCUUAAGUUAGGCGUGAAAUCUCCCGGCUCAACUGGGAGGGGCCGUCUAAAACUGGGACGCUUGAGGGCAGCAGAGGAAAGUGGAAUUCCCGGUGUAGUGGUGAAAUGCGUAGAUAUCGGGAGGAACACCAGUGGCGAAGGCGGCUUUCUGGGCUGUUCCUGACGCUGAGGCGCGAAGGCUAGGGGAGCGAAC
rnacentral:rRNA from 1 species